rnacentral:rRNA from 1 species
GACGAACGCUGGCGGCGUGCCUAAUACAUGCAAGUAGAACGCUGAAGGAGUAGCUUGCUUCUCUGGAUGAGUGGCGAACGGGUGAGUAACGCGUAGGUAACCUGCCCGGCAGCUGGGGAGAACUAUUGGAAACGAUAGCUAAUACCGUAUAACAGUAGAUAUCGCAUGAUAUCUACUGGAACUUUGCAAUUGCCUCGCUACAAUGAGGAGCUGCGUUGUAUUAGCUAGUUGGUGAGGUAACGGCUCACCAAGGGGAAGAUACAUCGCCGACCUGAGGAGGUGAUCGGCCACACUGGGACUGAGACACGGCCCAGACUCCUACGGGAGGCAGCAAGAGGGGAUCUUCGGCAAUGGACGGAAGUCUGAACGAGGAACGCCGCGUGAGUGAAGAAGGUUUUCGGAUCGUAAAGCUCUGUUGUAAGAGAAGAACGAGUGUGAGAGUGGAAAGUUCACACUGUGACGGUAUCUAACCAGAAAGGGACGGCUAACUACGUG